GUCUUCGUUUCACAAGUUGCUUAACACAAUGAACGCAACAGUUGUACUCCAUGUCCUGGAUACGUCUGUAUGAGGUGGCUCUUUAAGCUCUGACUCAAGCUACAGUCCACACCUUGCGAGCCCAACCUCUUAGAUGGGCUUUUCUUCACAAUCCUCUCAAGACUAGGACUAGAAUAUUAAGCAGGCUGCAUGGUGGUGGCACUGCUGCCUUGCAACCAGAAGGUCCUCAAUUCCUUAUGCAUGGAGUUUGCAUGUUCUCCUGAUACAUGCGUGGGUUCCCUCCAGGUACUCCAGUUACCUUUCAGUCCACAAGCAUUUCUCUAAAUUGCCCUUAGGUCUCAGUGCGUUCAUGGCUGUUUUUUUGUGUUGGCGUGGUGACUUGUCCAUGGGGGUACCCCCACCCAGUGACUGAUGGAAAAAGGCACCAGCUACCCCACGACCCUGCAGGGAGAGCGGGUAUGGACAAUGGAUGGAAGGAUGGAUGGAAUAAUAAGAAAACGCAGGUGUGCACAUACUAAGUUGCUUUUAUUAAUACAGAACUGCAUGCUACAGAGACUGUACAGCAUAAACAUUUAUUCAUUACAAAAAACGUGGUUUUAGAACCAUUUAAAAUAACAGGAAUAAAACAAACAAACAAAAAGAUAAGAGCAUAAAAUAGAACAGGAACAUCACAGCCGUUAAGGAAACAUUCAAACUAUUUAUCAUUAGCAUCUUAAUAAACCAGAGAAGAAAUCGACAGAUUACAGUCGCGUCAUGUCAACUACAAUGGCACCGAGUGGAUGAUUCUCUUGUAGCUUUUUUACAGCCUCUUGCAACAUCAACAUGCCUAUUUUUUCUAUCUACCUAUAUGUAGUAGUGUACUUAAAAGUGGCAGU